AGUGAACGCUGGCGGUAGGCCUAACACAUGCAAGUCGAACGGCAGCACAGUAAGAGCUUGCUCUUACGGGUGGCGAGUGGCGGACGGGUGAGGAAUACAUCGGAAUCUACUUUUUCGUGGGGGAUAACGUAGGGAAACUUACGCUAAUACCGCAUACGACCUACGGGUGAAAGCAGGGGAUCUUCGGACCUUGCGCGAUUGAAUGAGCCGAUGUCGGAUUAGCUAGUUGGCGGGGUAAAGGCCCACCAAGGCGACGAUCCGUAGCUGGUUUGAGAGGAUGAUCAGCCACACUGGAACUGAGACACGGACCAGACUCCUACGGGAGGCAGCAGUGGGGAAUGUUGGACAAUGGGCGCAAGCCUGAUCCAGCCAUACCGCGUGGGUGAAGAAGGCCUUCGGGUUGUAAAGCCCUUUUGUUGGGAAAGAAAAGCAGCAGGUUAAUACCCCGCUGUUCUGACGGUACCCAAAGAAUAAGCACCGGCUAACUUCGUG
rnacentral:rRNA from 1 species